GGGCGUGUAGCUCAGGGGUAGAGCGUUCGCUUUGCAUUCGCAAGUCUGCGAAAGGCCUUGGGAUCGAUUCCCAACUCGUCCA